rnacentral:rRNA from 1 species
UGUGCCAGCAGCCGCGGUAAUACAGAGGGUGCAAGCGUUAAUCGGAUUUACUGGGCGUAAAGCGUGCGUAGGCGGCUAUUUAAGUCGGAUGUGAAAGCCCUGGGCUCAACCUGGGAACUGCAUUCGAUACUGGGUAGCUAGAGAUCGGUAGAGGGCGGCGGAAUUCCGGGUGUAGCGGUGAAAUGCGUAGAUAUCCGGAGGAACACCGAUGGCGAAGGCAACCGCCUGGGCCUGAUCUGACGCUGAGGCACGAAAGCGUGGGGAGCAAACAGGA